GGGCACGUAGCUCAGCGGUAGAGCAUUCGCUUCACACGCGAAGGGUCACAGGUUCGAUCCCUGUCGUGCCCACCA
rnacentral:tRNA from 1 species